AACGAACGCUGGCGGCAUGCCUUAUACAUGCAAGUCGAACGAUAAAGCUCUUUCGGGAGUGAUUAAAGUGGCGCACGGGUGAGUAACGCGUAGGUGACCUGCCGAUUAGUUGGGGAUAGCUCGCUGAAAAGUGAAUUAAUACCGAAUGUUUAGUAUGAAUUUGAAUGUAAUACUACAAAGGCCGCCAAUCCUUGGAAGCGGUCGCUAAUCGAGGGGCUUGCGUGCCAUUAGCUUGUUGGUGAGGUAACGGCUCACCAAGGCGACGAUGGCUAGCCGGUUUGAGAGAAUGAUCGGCCACACUGGAACUGAGACACGGUCCAG
rnacentral:rRNA from 1 species